AGGGGCGAAAGUGGGAAGAGGAAGAGUACGGCUAUAAGGCCGGCAGUGAUCACAGCUCCUUCAACUGAACUGCUGCUCAGAAAGGGGUUUAAAGCCCUUUGGUAGAAGCUAUUGCUGAUCAAAUCCAAAACCCACAACAUGCUCUUGAGGAAAAGCCUUCCUUUUUUUUUUUUUUUUCUUUUAAGCUAGUUACUUGCAAGUCUGGUAAUUUAACAGAGCUAUGAAAUGACUGUGGUUUGAAAUCCCCAUGCUUGUGUGGCUGUGGGUGUGUGGAUGCUGUUCUGGCCUGUUUGGCUUUGUUUCAGAAUUGUAAAACUGCAUGGUAGAGAGCAACCCAGAUCCAGGGGUGUUGGGUCUAAGAUCAGGCGUAACGCAAGGCAUAUGAAUUCCCAUGCCUUUUGGCCUGGGAGCUGCACAUAGGAUGACAACUUGGUAGAAAAAAAGGAGACAUGGGAAUUGCUAGAUUUUUUGCUUUUGGAUUUCACUUGGCUAUUGGAUGUGGACAGGGAUGCAAGUUUGUGAUUUGGAUUAAUCUGGACAAGAAACUAAAAUGAGAUACAGUAAACACACAAACACCACGCUGGAGGUGUAGUCAUCGUGGCUGAAAUCAGGGACCAUGGUUUGACAAAAUAAGCUCGAGUCACUUCAUAAAACAAGGUCUGCUCAGAAUUUGGCUGUUUAUGCUGAUACCUCACAGCACAAUUACAAAGGCCUGGCUGUGGUACAGGUGGUGAAAGUUGCAGUAAGAUUAGACUUUACCACAGCCACAGCCCCUGCUGAGAAGCAGGGCAGAAGCGCAAAGCUGCAUCUAGUUUGCAGAUUGGUGAGAAGAGAUGUUAUAUACCAACGAGCAUGUUUUUUCUCUGUGGGGAUCAUUCAGCUCCACUCAUGAAAAGUCUCAGGAACAACACUUUCUGGUACCAUACUGUCUGUUUGGCUUUACAAACUGCUGAGUGGGGUCAUUAGGAGACAAGAGGAUUGGGUCCCUCACAGAUCUGCUGUUAGGAGCUUGCUUGGGGUUUAUAAGCUUUUGCUUUCACGUGCACAUGCACUUUUCUAGCCAAAAUCCCCCUUCAAACCCCCUUUCAAUGAAGUUGCUUAUGCAAAUCUGGUGUAUGCAAAUACACUUACCAAGAACUUCCCCAAUUGGCGUGAGAUCUAUGCAACUCAUCCCCAGAGCUCUCCUCAGCAAGACAGCUGGGCUCUUGGCAUCAAGUCGGAGCCUUAGAGGGCUUUUACUUACAGCCUGAAUGGUGUGAAUGGAUCAUAGCCUGAUAUGUUGACUACCAGGGAGAAUGCUCCUGGAGUGCUGAGUGAGCCUGCCAUCUCUGACAGGAAUGACUCUGAGGAGGUUGUCACCUACAUCUCGGAGAGCAUGACGGUGACCUCAGCCGAUGAGGAGAAGCUGAUGCUGCUCAACAAGAACACAGAGCUGCGGCGCAUCAACAAGGAGCUGAUGAAGCUGAAUCAAGAGUGGGACCAGAUUUACCACACCACAUCCCUGGGGCUGCAGCAGAAGAUCAGGGCCCUGCAGCAGGAGGUGCUCACCCUCAAGCAGCAGACAGAGAAGCUCUCCAUGAAGUUGGAGCAUGAACAGAACAAGAGGGAGUACUACGAACAAACCCUGAUCCAGGAGCUCAAGAAGAACCAGCAUUUACAGGAGUAUGUAAGGCAGUUAGAAGGCAAUCGACACCAUAGCAGGGAGAAAAGGACCUCAGCUGGUGCAGAGGUGUUUUCAUCCAUGCCCUGGGAGGAAUUCCCAGAUUUCCAGUUCCCACUUCAGAAGAAUGCGAAGGAGAAUUCUCCAAGGAAACACGAAGCAGCUGGUCCAAAAGUGCAAGGCAGUGACAGCUGCAAGCCCAGGAAGUGCCAGCACUUCCCACAUUUUAAUAGCAGCUCAGACCCUGAAAAAGAGGUGACAGACCUGAAGGACCAGCUGGAAGCCCUGAAGUGCCAGACAGAAAUUUAUGAGGCAGAUUACAGGACAGAACACAAAGACCGGGAGCGAAUCAAGGCAGAGAACGAGAAGCUGCGGAAGAAGGAGGAGGAGAUGAGGCAGCAGAUGGCACUUCUGCAGGAGCAGCUCAAGAUUUUUGAGGACGACUUCAGGAAGGAAAGAUCAGAUAAGCAGCUGCUUCAGCGCCUCUUAAAGAGCAAGUCUCACCCCAAAGAGCCCAUCCUGGUUCAUCGCUGCAACAGCCACGAGAAGCCACCAGCACCCAUUUCCUCCGCGCACAGCAUUUCUUCCCCCACACCCAAGCGAGGCACCUGCAACAAGCACUGUGAGAAGCAUGGCCCCAAGACAGGGGAGCAGACCAAGCAUCACCAGCCCCCAGAUGCUCAAGCACAGGCCCCCCCUUUCAGCAGAGACUACUAGGAAGGAAAGACACAGAAACAGCAGAGACAGAACUCCAAGGCAGUCCCUUCUAAGCUCCUACAUCAUCUUCUGCCAUCACUUCCAGCUGGGUCCAUGUUUCUACUGCAACUAGGAACUGGUUGUAGUGCUGUUCUUCUGCACCAGGCAGGCAAAUAACCACAGAUGCUUUUAGCCGUCACCACUGGUUACAGCUCAGACCAAAUCAGGGCUUGAGGACUGAUCCAGUUCUGACGCAGAAGCCCAGAUGAACCGCCUUGCUUCCUCUCCUGCCUUUUGUCCACACCACUGAAAUAACAAUGGAGUGUUUGUGCACAGGCCUUGAUGGAACCCAGCUCCAAAGGCAGUUCACGCUCCUUUGCUCCUAGAGCACCACCAGCUUCAGGCUAACCUCCAACAUACUCUAGGGAGAUGAAGCUUGAAGAAGCACAUUGUCCCACGCAUCAAGAAGGGCACUGAGAAAAAGGAGGCCUCAAGGUAAAAUUAGGUGAUGCUUCUGUUUGCAUCUGAAAAAGGGCUUAUUGCUCCUAUUGCUGUAAAAGGACUCCAGGCUCCUUUGCUAUAUUUUGUCCUUAAUUAACAGUGUCUUCCAGUGCCUCAUUAAGUCUUGGAUGACUUCAGCUCUGCUAUAGCAGCGCUCACUUGGCACCAGAAACUCAGCCAGAGAAAAUCAGGGACAACUCGUUUUUAUUUAUUUUAACCUUUUUCCCCAGAUUUUAUUACUGUGAAGCUUUGCACAAUCUAUUAAAAGUACAUACAAAUAUCUUAGUUUUUAAGCGCCUGUCAGACAGGCAGCAGUAUGUUCUUUUCUUCAUUAGAAACCAAAUGACAGCUGACCCAAUAGCUCUGGAGAUAAAGUAAAGGUUUCCGUCUUCAAGGGGGCGGGGAAGGUACAAUGUCUGGCCUGCAAGAGAGGAAACUUUCUUAUAUUUCUCCAUCUAUGCCCCAAGAAUGGGGUGAGGAGCUCACUCUCAUGGCCUCAGGAGCAGUUCCAUUAGUUGGUUGUAGCAACACCAGCCAAUUUGUAAUGUAGACUGCUGUCCGUUAGGAACUGGGCUGAAUGUAACUGGUCACAGGUUGGACCCUCGCUGCAUUCAGACAGUGACCUAGAGCUGAAAGCCCCGAAAUCCAAGCAAGAGCUUUCAAAACCAACGUCCUCAAUAGGCAACUGUUAACAACAAAACUGUGUUGUUUCGAAAGGCAACCUAGGGGUGGGCUGGAUACCCACUUUGUUAAGCAUCUGUGGGAGGAUUUUGUGUUACUUUUAUCUGAUGCAUGAUACACACAUGAGCUUGUGUGGUUAGCCAACGCUUCUGCAGGCACCAGUGCUCAGACACCAAAGUUUGUGUGGUAUAAAUACCUAGAGCACAUAUAACCAGCUCAGAAAUACCAGCAUACUAAGGUUACAGCCACCUCAGAAAUCCAGCCUCAUGCAUCACAGAGUCACUCUUCCAUGAAGAGCAUCUACAUACAGAGUUAUGAAUCCCUAGGUUUGGCAGGUUAGUAACUGGCUCAUGAAACUCUGAACACCUACUCAUAGGAGAAAUGGGAAGAGUCUUACAACCAAAGUCUGCCUUUAAACUCAAGUAAAGUCUCCAAAUAAGGACAUUUUACUGCCUUCCAUACCAAGGGGAAAUACCGAACCCCCAGUCAGCAAUACUAUCCCACAAAGGUCUACAACAAACCAAAAAGAAAAAGACUCACUGUUAGAACACUCUCCUUAAAACACUGUCUCAUGCUCCACAAGUUUAUGCCCAGAGACUACACCAGGGGAUCUCAAAGCAGAGGUUCUUCCAGGCAAAAUGUUUCACAAACAUUAAAGCUCACAACGCUGCUGGAAGGUAAGAGCUUUCCCAGACAACAGAUGUGGUAAAAGAGGUGAUGUGAUUGGUAUGUCGUCACACAGCAAGACAGUAUCACUGGGAAAUGGAAUCCCAGACUGACCCCAAGGCCUAUAGCACAUGUUUAUGAUGGUACUCUACCAAACAGUUCCUACCAGCAUCCCCAUUCAGACCGCAUACCGUUGCUGUGGAAAGGAUGAUGCUUAGUUAUAUGAAGAAGUUACGUUAGAAGACUUGAGAGCCCACAGUUGAACAUGCAUCGAUUUGUAGAUUCAAAAAUAUAAAGCAGGGGUGUCAAAGAUAGGACCCCAUCAUCGAGCCCCUGGUGCUGGCCCUGGGUCUUCUAACGUACCUGCCUCAUAUAACUAAGCAUUAUCCUUUCCACAGCAAUGAUGUGGGGUCUGGAUGGGGAUGUUGGUAGGACCUGCAAGUCACAUAUGGCAUCCCAUCUGGACAUUAGUUGUAUGUGGCACCUAUUCCAGGACCCAUGCUGCAUCCACACGGAGCCAGUUUGAGAGGUGGGGCAGAAGUUUUCAAGCAAGGGUACCAAAAAGCCUUAUAACCAAGAACUCUUAAAGUCACAAACCAUGUAGAGCAUGGAACUCCAGGAAAGACCAAGGACUGGAUCAACUUCAGUGGGAUUUCAGUGAUUUUCAAAUGUAAUUCUAACCAUCAACCAAGCUCUGAUCCACCCAAUACCUAGCCCAUGAAUCCAGUGGUGAUCAACAAGAGCAUUGUGGCUUUUAAAUAAAAGAUGUACAGGGAAACAAUCAGCUCAGAGAGAACAGCAGCCUAUAGCAAGUGUUGCUGCAGGGGACACUGCUGGUAGCCAUGAAUCCAACAAACACAGCAAGUCGCAUGCAAAUCUUCCAUGCUGAACUGCUGACACACCAGCAUAUAUCCACCAAUAUUAAUCCUCCUCUACUAGCCUAGGAUCUCUCUCAAUUGCUUCUGAGGCAGGAGCUUUUCCUUCAUAUUGCCAUUAUUUUUGACUUAUAGACAAACCUUGAAGUUAGACAUGUAGCAGCACUAACAUACCAUCUAAAUACAGAAUAAUGGGUGUACUGUAUAUUGGUUGUGCCAAAGAUUUGCCCUUUCAUUGGAGUAAGGCUGGUUAAAAUGAACCCUGAUUAAUGCUUCCUGUACUGUUUACCUGUGAUCUCAUAUGAUGCCUGACAGUCUGUGUAGACCGUGAGUUAAAUUGUGUUUAGCAUCAGGUCAGUUAGAAUGACUCCUGACAGUCACGGGCCUCACACUAUACUGAAAACAAGGCCAGAGUGGACAGGGUUAAUGAUUUGAGUUUUUCUGUAGGCAAACACAAUUACAGGAUUUCAGUCCUCAAAAACCUUUUAUAUAAAGCAGCUUGAAUUUCCCCCCACCUAUAGAUACACCAGAAGUCACUGCAAUGUUCAGCAACAAGAUGCCUCCAGUUAUUGAUUUAGGCCCAAGAGUUGCUGGCACAAGUAUGAAUAAGAUUCAGUACUAGGACAAGCAGCCACGAUUGCUCAGAAGCAAGUGUCCUGGGUAAGACCUUGAUAGAAUUAAUUUGUAAGCACUCCAUUUUCCAAUGUGCCAAUCAAAUAGAUGCUAGUCUUUUGGGGAGUAAGGGAACAGUGCACACAGAUUUGCUAAUUUCACACUCCAAUCAGUAGAGGAAAGGGAGUGGAGAUGCCCAAGAAACUUUUCAGUAGGCCUUUGAAAAGGGUGGUUGUAUUAGGAAACACGAACCCUGUACUUCCAAGUUGUUUUUUUAAUAUGUUGUGCCUUAAAUCUGAAAGAAGGCAGAGGAAUUCAAGCAAGCAGGUUAGAUUUCUAAGUGAAAUGCUAGCAGAAAAGCAUUUCAACUGUGCAUGCCACAAUUCAAGAACCGUGUCCAGGCCUCAGCUGCUUAGUAUGUACUGCCCAAAGCUCCUUGCCAUACAGAAGAUAAGGGACUGCAACUUUAUAAAAGGACUUCAAAUGCCAGUAGGCUGCAGUUAUGAACAUAAGGACAGUUGACCUCAAUAUUCCUCAAGGAAGCAAAGAUCCAUUUUAAUAAAUCAACCUUUAAAAAGGGGAAGAGUUCUCAUUUUGAGACCAACAGUAGUCUCUUUCCUCCAUGCUGCAGCUUCAUUCAAACAGCAGGAAGGAAGGAAAUGGUUACAGAACUCCCCCGGGAGCAAAGGGCAACAGAGCAGACUGGCACUGGGUGGCCAUUACAACCUGUCUUCAUAAAUUUACAGAUGCAGUACGUGAGCUAGCAACACACCCCACAACCUCUGCCCUGGCAGAACUGAAAAUAUUAUGGGUAGAUUGCAUUGAAGCAGAAAAAUUACUUGGAAAGGAGAAGAGACAGUGAUGGGAACUUAGCCAGCAAUGUAUGCUGGGGAUGUAAAGUGAAGAUUAAGAGUGUUUUCUUUUGGCCACUGUUGGAAUGGUGAAGACAAGUAGUGUGGCAUUCACCUUGACACUUGUUCCUUGCAGAUACAAACAUUAUGGUACAUCACAGUAACAUUAAUCCUAUGUGUCUUUGGGAGACAAAAGAACACAACAGGACCCCAUUAAAAUUUAGUUCUUGCAACAUGAAGUUACAUUUACCUCUUGCCCCUAAAACUUAAGCUCCAUCGACAGAAGAUCUAGAGAUAUGGCCGUAAUAAGUAAUUAAAAGCUAGAAUUCUCCAAACCAGCCAAAAAUAGGACUUGCUUUACAUCCCAUCCCCUGCUGCUUGAUGAUGAAUAUCAACAGGACAUCUCUCAGGGCAGGAGGAACAACCCUAUUAGCACUGGUCUGUGAAACACUGCUGGUGCUAUAGCAGAUCCUGUGGUGGAAUGUUGAUCUCACAUGCCAAGGCUUCUUUGAUGCCAAAACUAAACACUGCCCUCUGCUGGCAAUGCUCCUCUGCAGCUUUUAAAUCAAUCUGCUAUUUCAAAUACAUACCAAGCAACAAACUGAUAGCAAGGAGCACAAUUCAGUUACGAGCUUGUCUUUGAAAGCAGCCAAAACAAUGCUCCAUUCAGAACAGUGAAGAAAAACAGUUUAAAUCUUUCAUUGCAAUUCUGUGCACCAAGUUAAACAGCUGGUAAAAUGACACAAGAGCUGUUCUAGCAGACUCGUCACAUGGGGAGGGAUACUCGUCUCACACUGGAGGGUGCCAAGGACCUGCUUGAAAGUACCCAAAGCAGGUAAGCACCUAAGAUACUAGGUGCAGCUGUAACACACAUAAUAGUUACAGUGGCCCAGCUAACAUGCUUUAUUAACCCAUCUGAAAUUGGGGAAGUUUAGACCAUGAAGGGACAUAAUGAAAGAGUGAACUUCAAGCUACUACACCAACGUGCUCCACAGAAGACAUCACGCAACAAUUUCCGUGAAGAAUGGAAUUAUACAAAAACUCCAAAAGCAGGCUUCAGAACAGGGAUGUGAAACACCCUUCAAGGACUGAAAGAGGGGAAAUGUGAAUCAAGCAUUUAGUCCCAGUCACAGAAGCGCUGCUGAGUGGGAGUUUGGGAAACUUCAUGAAAGCUACUGUUUCAUAUUAAGAGACUGACCUGCUGGGCUGGCGCUCGCAUCUGCAUGCACAUGGGCACUCAGCCCCCCCGCACCCCAGGCUCGGAUUGACUCCAAAAGGCUCCAGGAUAUACCAGUGGAUCGAGAUCCCCUGGUUGGUGACCACUGGGCUACAUGGUGAGCUGUAGAGGGCUGCACAUAUAAAAACUUUCAGAAGAUAUCAUUUUAACAAAUAGAUAAAAAAAAUGAUAUACUAAAAAUCAAAUACUGUAACAUUUUAAUUUUAUUUAAAAAAAUUAAUUUUUGUCCUGGUUUGUUUUUGAGUAGUGUAUAUAGAAGGUGAUAGCAUAAUAGCUCAAAAUAAAGUCUUAAUCUUGUAUAGUGUGUCUGUGGAGGGGUGGGUGUGCGCCUGCGUGCGGGGGGCUGCCUGCAUGCUAGGUCCUGGGAGCCAGUUGGGGGUGAGGGGAGGAAGGGGCAGGGGUUUCUUGGAACAGAGCUCACCCCGCAUUGCGAUUCAUCCCCCCUCAUCCAACUUGCAGCUGCCCUCACAGUGCUCCAUAUGCGGCCAAGACCCUCUUGCUCUAGCCAGGGCAGCGUGUGCCACUCUCCUGCCUACACCCGCCCCAGGCCUAGCCCCAGCCAGCAUGCAGCUUCCUAGCAGGGCUGCUCCUGCAGCCACCCUGGUACUCCUUGGCUCCUUCUCCCCUCAAGAGGCUCCUCCUCCUGCCUGCUGAGCCAUGACAGGCAGCAGAGAGUGCAGAGAAGCUGAAGGGAUGCACGCCAUACCCAGCCAGGCAGGGGGAAGCUGCAGCUCGGCAUCUCCUGCCCCAGUGUGCAGGGCUCCAAUUCCAGCUUCUGGUCGCCUUCCAACCGCUGGCCACCUGCAGGCGGCUGUUCAUUGCACUGGGCAGGCAGAGUAGGUGGAAGGCAGUUGGGAGCUGGAGCCCCAUGCCCUGGGGCAGACACUGCCCAGCUGCAGCUCCCUCCCCCACCUGGCUGGGCACAUGGUGCUCAACACACAUCCCCAUUUUCCUGUGCUACCUGCUGCUCAGAGCAGCGCAGAAGGGGCAGGAAGAGAAGCAGUACUCAGGACUGCCCUGGGUGGGGCAGGGACCCAGGUGAAGCCCUGCAGGUUGGACAUGAUCAACUGGCAGGAUAGAUCUGGUCCAUGGGCCAUAUUUUGCCCACCCCUGGCUUUGUCCACAUUAAAUCCAGUGGACAAAAUCCAGCCUGCUUGUUUCAGCUAUAUCUAUAUGACAGGUAGUCUCAGAAGUAGAAGCUAGAAAUUAAAGGCAAGAAAGAUGACAAGUGGGUGGAAGCCAGAUCAGCUAUCUGGUGGGGAUAAACAACAUUUCGAUUCCUCUGAGGUUUAUUCAAUCCACAGAAACGUCCCCUUAAGGAGGGGGAUUCUAAAGACAUAUUGGCCUGAAAAUGAGCCCAACGUGAAAGCCACGCUGUAUCACAGCACCUGGCUUCCAGGUUUCUGAAAGGCUUAUACCAUCUUCUGCCUUCAGUGGCAGGGAGCAAAUAUUACCCAGACACCUCCUGAAUUGUUGCCUAACAACGCAUCUAGACUGUAUCUGUUGGAUGCUAAAAAUCUACCAUGUGAUUUGGGACUGCUUUCAAGUUGGGUCAGUAGUUUCAGUCCAAUUACACAACACCUCUGACCCAAAAUAGUCUAGCCGAUACCUCAAAGCAGUUCUUAUAGGAGAUGCAGUACUUACAAUUCAUGUAACUGUGUGACUUCACACCUCUAUGCUCUUAUCUCAGGGAGUGGCUAGAAUGCAAUAACAUCAAGAUCCAUGUGCAGAAGAUUUAACAGCUACUGGAUCAUAACCUGAAAUACCAGGCAUCAUGGCAAAGCAUGAGUGUUUUUUGCUUAACUAGUUCCAUGUCCAAGAAAAUCCUGAAUUCUGUCUAACCCAAGCAGGUUCGCUUGUUGUUUUACACAUGGGGCCACCUUGCUUUAUUCAGAGUCCUUUGCACAACUGCCCAAAUAUAGAGGAACAGAAGAGAGUUAGAUUUGAACCAGCAACCUAGAAGUGAGGGUCUCUAUCCCUCACAAAAAACCCAGCAACCCUCUAUACCAUCUAGCCCUCUAAAGUACUACAGCAAUACUGAAUCUUCUGGAUUUCUUUCCCUGCAGCACUCCCAGGAGCUAGUAAAGAUGCUACAAUCAGGCAGGAGGUGGAUUAAAAAGAAAUUAAUUUGAUUCUACAUUACACGAGCCAGCAGUAUCUGAAAUGGGCAAAGAGUAGUUCAGAGAUAGUAAAUUUGGAGGCUGCAAGCAAUUCAGAACGUUCAGAGGCUUUCUUUAAACAGUUGAACAGAGUCUCUGGAGAAAGUGUUGGCGAGGAUGCAUUUAGAGCGAGAGAUGGUAACAGCAUUGUGUAAGAUAACAACGCCAGUAUGCUGUUCCUAAGAACUUGCUAAUAAGGCAACAAGGAAGUU